GGCUGGUCCGAUGGUAGCAGGUUAGUAGAACUUAUUAACAUUAGUGUCACUAAAGUUGGUAUACAACCCCCUACUGCUAAAUUUGACUGGCUUUUA
ensembl:Y_RNA Y_RNA Y RNA